UACGUAGGUGGCAAGCGUUGUCCGGAUUUACUGGGCGUAAAGAGCGCGCAGGCGGUCGUUCAAGUCGCGUGUGAAAGCCCCCGGCUCAACUGGGGAGGGUCACGCGAUACUGAUCGACUGGAAGGCAGGAGAGGGUAGUGGAAUUCCCGGUGUAGUGGUGAAAUGCGUAGAUAUCGGGAGGAACACCAGUGGCGAAGGCGACUACCUGGCCUGUUCUUGACGCUGAGGCGCGAAAGCGUGGGGAGCGAACGGG
rnacentral:rRNA from 1 species